rnacentral:rRNA from 1 species
UAGAGUUUGAUCCUGGCUCAGGAUGAACGCUAGCUACAGGCUUAACACAUGCAAGUCGAGGGGCAGCAUGACGGUAGCUUGCUAUCGUUGAUGGCGACCGGCGCACGGGUGAGUAACGCGUAUCCAACCUUCCCAUGACACCGGUUCAGCCCGCCGAAAGGCGGAUUACUCCCGGAUGGUUUCCGAAGAGGGCAUCUGAUUUGGAAUAAAGAUUGAUCGGUCAUGGAUGGGGAUGCGUCUGAUUAGGCAGCAGGCGGGGUAACGGCCCACCUGGCCUACGAUCAGUAGGGGUUCUGAGAGGAAGGUCCCCCACACUGGAACUGAGACACGGUCCAGACUCCUACGGGAGGCAGCAGUGAGGAAUAUUGGUCAAUGGGCGAGAGCCUGAACCAGCCAAGUAGCGUGCAGGAUGACGGCCCUAUGGGUUGUAAACUGCUUUUAUAUGAGGAUAAAGUUCGUUACGUGUAACGUUUUGCAGGUAUCAUAUGAAUAAGGACCGGCUAAUUCCGUGCCAGCAGCCGCGGUAAUACGGAAGGUCCGGGCGUUAUCCGGAUUUAUUGGGUUUAAAGGGAGCGCAGACGGUCAGUUAAGCGUGCAGUUAAAUGAUGUGGCUCAACCAUGUUAUGCUGCGCGAACUGGCUGACUUGAGUUCACGGAACGUGGGCGGAAUUUGUGGUGUAGCGGUGAAAUGCUUAGAUAUCACGAAGAACUCCGAUUGCGAAGGCAGCCCGCGGCAGUGUUACUGACGUUCAUGCUCGAAGGUGCGGGUAUCGAACAGGAUUAGAUACCCUGGUAGUCCGCACGGUAAACGAUGGAUGCUCGCUGUCGGCAAUAAUUGUCGGCGGCUAUUGAAAGCAUUAAGCAUCCCACCUGGGGAGACCCCCGCAACGGUGAAACUCAAAGGAAUUGACGGGCGGCCCCCCCAACCGAAGAAAAUGUGGGUUAAUUCAAUGAUCCCCCAAGAAC